AACCUUUACCUUGAAGAAUCCAUGUCUUAGCAAGUGAUAGUUCAGUCCAUCAAGGUAAGCUACUGCAAUUUUCUCCCUCUUGUGCUUGAGUUAAUUAGGACAUUUGGUAUGUGUUAGUGAGUUGGAAAUUGUUUCUUUUACAUGAUUUAAUAUUUGGGAGGAUGUUCUGAUGGUUAGUGCAUGUUGGGAUAGCCAUGGAGGGGAGUCCCCUUUAAAUUUAAUUAUGAGCUCGUUUGGGCAUUUUAAAAGUAAUGUUAGCUCUUCAAGUGUUGGUGAUCAGAAAUCGUGAUUCAUAUUGGUUAUGUUACAUUAUUAUGUUUAGUGGUUUUUUUUAUGUAGGUUAUGAUAAGGGAUGUGACUGAUGUGUGGAGAAGUUAUGGAGACAUUAAAGGACUUAAAUAUUGCAGGGAGUUUUGGGGAGGACUUGAUACGAAGGUUGUAUAGUAUAUAGACACGAUUAAAGGGAAAGGGAAAGAAAUAAAACAUUGGCUAGAUAAAUUGCAUGCUUACUGCUUGGUGAGAUCAAGUAGCUCAAAUUGGUUGAUUAGCUACUAAUACUAGUCUUACAACUUAUUUUAACCGUAUUCCAAUGGUUAAAAUGCCUAGCAUGAGUCAUCCUCUUCUAUCACUAAUCAGUUGGUCAUUUGUAUCAUAUUUUUAUAAAGAUUAUAAUGCACAAAAAAGUACAGAAAAGAAUGUAACAUACACGAUUCCACAAGUAUAACGGUGGUCUCUAAUCCUUAUCUAUUUGUAUUUGCUUUUACUUGUGCUCUCAUUUUACAUAUGGUUGUAUUAUGCCUUACAUAUUCAAUAUAUUCUUUCAUAUUGACGUCCCUUAUUGGGGACGCUGCAUUCAUGAUGCAGGUACAUGUACUCAACUAGUAGAUCUCCCCAAUAGAAGCACAUGAUACUCAGAUGUUGUUGGUGAGCUCCAGGAUGAUUCGAGGCUUAACCGAGUCUUUACUAUGCAUAUUUUGAUAGUUGUACAAUCAUGGAUUUCAGUAGAGGCUUUGUAGACAUUGUAAAGCUAUCAUCUGUAUUCAUGGUUUUACUUGUUACAUGUAUCGGUUC
rnacentral:lncRNA from 1 species